UACGUAGGGGGCAAGCGUUGUCCGGAAUUAUUGGGCGUAAAGCGCGUGUGGGCGGCUCGGUAAGUCUGCUGUGAAAGUCCAAGGCUCAACCUUGGAAUGCCGGUGGAUACUGUCGAGCUCGAGUCCGGAAGAGGCGAGUGGAAUUCCUGGUGUAGCGGUGAAAUGCGUAGAUAUCAGGAGGAACACCGAUGGCGAAGGCAGGUCUCUGGGCUGACACUGACGCUCAUGCACGAAAGCGUGGGGAGCAAACAGG
rnacentral:rRNA from 1 species